GGAAAAGAGAAAAAGAAAAAAAUGAAUAUAGUGAAGGAAAAGGGGAAACAAGAUGAAAGGAUUGAGGAGCUACAGAAUGCUAGAGAUAGAAUGUCUAAGCUGCUUAAAGAGGAACAGACUAAAGUCAGUGCUCAUCUGAAGACAUUGAAGUAUUAUGAGAGCCAACAGAAAGCCUUUGAUCUGGAACGACAGUCAGAACCGUGAAACCAAACAGUCAUUAGUGACACUAUCACUACAGAGCCUUGAAGUCCUGCUUGAUGGUGCUGAAUCUGAUGCAGAUGACAUCAUUUCCAGUGCCGGGGAAGUUGGGAGUGCCGUCCAACAUUUGCCAAGGAAAGUGACAUUGAUGAAAAGUGAAUAUGAAAGCUGAAAUUAGAAAAACAUCAAAUGAAGGAACAUUACGAGAAAAUUCAACAGACCGAUAUGUUGAAAAAUAAGAAAAUUAAUGACCUAACAAAACAAUGUGCAAUAUUUCGGGAGCAAUUGGAGAGUAUGAAAAUGCAGACAUGUUGUGCAUUAACACCAAAAUUUGAACAUCCUGAGGGCAGCGAGAAUAUUAACUUGAACUUGACACCAGACUUGUUCACAUCACCUGUCAAAAAUACACAAUCUGAGCAUUCAGAGAAGCCAAGUACUUCCUGUGAUACUGCUUUAUCUGAAAGAUCACUUGGGAAAUCCCAGAAAAGAUCGUGUGAUAGUGAAGACACAGAGAACCAGGAACAAACAAAAUACCUCAAAAUUACGUCUGCAGCGGAGAAAAAAGCUUAAAAGUUGAAGCGUUUCAAAAGUGAAAGUGCUAUCAAAGGUUUUAAUUCUAUAACAACAUUAGCUUCCA